AUUCUUUUGUAGUUCAGAAGCAUGAUGUUUGGGUGUUCACAGGCAUGUGUGAGAAGUGCCUCCCUGAAACCUUAUUAUGAUGUGAGCCCAUUACUCUUCUGACA
ensembl:snoRNA